rfam:Capsicum annuum cultivar Zunla-1 chromosome 10, whole genome shotgun sequence
ACCUCAUAAUUUGGGCAUUACAUUAACUUACCAUUGAAACGUUGCUACGCUUCAUACAAUGGUUCGCCAUUAUGUUGGCGAAAGUUGGUGAUUUUGUCCCUUAGUU